UAUCAAAUGCUUCGGUUAACUAAUCAACCCGAGCAUUUGUGAAAAUUUUAAUUUAAAAAUUCACAAAUGCUUGGGUUGAUUAGUCAACCGGAGCAUUUGAU
rnacentral:pre_miRNA from 1 species